rnacentral:piRNA from 1 species
UGUUGAUCUCUUUGUGCC